ensembl:antisense Gm26781 predicted gene, 26781
GGUGUUUGAGAUCGUGUUGCUAGAGGGCUGACCAGGAGAAGAAAUUCCUCAAAAGACAAUGGCUUUUGUAGGGGCAAGAACAGUCAGGAGCAAGAAGGACUUUUGAGAGUCUGGUUUGGAUAUUUGGGCUGAAUUACACAGAAUGAAGCAGAGAACAGAACCCACUUUCCUCCCAUCUACUAGGUGAACCUGCUUCUCCAGGUGAGUGUCUACAGCUUUUCUUGCCCUGGAGAAAACUAAGAUAAUAGCCCAUCCUUCCCCGUCGGUUUGUGAGAACAGCCAGUCCCAACAGCCAGCUCUGAGAAAACCGAUGGGCAGUCCCCUGGCGCAUCUGCAAGCACAUGGUUCCUCUCUUUGAAGCGCCGUUCCACCUGCGCCAUCCCGGGGAGGCUACCAAGUGGCCGAGGCAGAGUUCACCUUCGGGGACCGGCCCCAGAACACCGAACUGUCGUCCCUGGAGAGCGAGGAGGCCGAGCUGAUCCUGCGCACCUGGCGCCCGGCGCGCGUGCACAGCCCGAACCGGGCCCGGGCGCGGAACGAGCGAUCCAACAGGAGGUAGAUAACAGGGUUCGCACUGCUAUUGACGAAAGCCAGGCAGGUGGUGACAGUCAGACCCCAGCGCAGCGCCAGCAGCAGAGAGCAGGGCAGCGGCAGCGCCUGGAGCCGCGCCAGGUGGAAGAGGGAGCGCAGGACGCCGAAGGGCAGCCAGCAGCCCACGAAGACGCUCUCCACGGUGAAGAUGAUGCGCAGCGAGUUGCUCCGGGCCCUACCGACGCGCGGCAGGCGGCGCGACACGCGCCAGUAGCAGAUCAGGGUGACAGCCAGCGGCAGCGCGAAGAAGCCACCGAAGAAGUUGUGGAUGCGUUUUCCCAGUCCUUCUCGCCAUUCCGACUGCCACAACGACUUGGAGACAAGAAGCCUUCUACAGACUCUGACCUAAACAAUGAAUAUCCUUACAUUUUAUGUCUCAGAAAAAAGCAUCUUUGAGCUCCUGCGGAUGCAUGUGACUGUAUCAACCAAACCAACCUAGAGCUUUAGAAAUGAGGUAGUGCUAAUACCGCCUCUUCUUUAUGGCCAUGGUAGGCACACUGUAAAUAUCUGUUGGGAUGAACUCUUUCUAUAUGAAAACUGAAGACUAGUACAAGGGACUGGUGAGACAGUGUGCACACUGAGCUCCUGGGUACCAGAAGCACUCUUUUUUGAUGUGUGUCUUCUAAUUCAAGGUGACACUGAUCUUUCAAAUCUAUAUGCUAGAGAAAAAAGACAUGGGUCCUUAUAUCUGUGACUUAGAUACAAAUGCUCCAAAAUGUUACAUUCAAAUAAGCAAGUGACUUUGGGAUUAUUCUAAUGUCAUUGUCUUCAAUGGGAAGGAAGAUUUUAUUUUUCUCUAUUAUUUAAUCAUAGUCAUAUUAGCAACUAUUGUAUAAAACACUAUUAGUGUUUAUAGCUUAUAAAAGUAUUAACAUUAAUUCAAAUUC